rnacentral:rRNA from 1 species
AUGGGUGCACCAGCGCGUCAAAUGUUGCCGGGGCCGUCGGUGGGAACGGAGGACCGACGCGGCCUGGACGCGGCGCGAGCUCCAGAGCGCCGGGAUCGAGACCAAGAUUGCGGCGACGACCGCGUGGCGGCUUUGCGCAACUACCGCCGAGCCCGUGGGUUAUGCUUCAAGUGCGGCGAGCGGUGGGGGCAAGGCCAACAAUGUGGCCCUACCGUCCAGCUUCACGUGGUCGAGGAGUUGUUGGACCUGCUUCAGACCAAUCCAAUGGAGCCAGUGGGUCUCCAGCAUGACUCGGAUGAUGAAGUCUUGAUGUCCAUCUAUAAACUGGCAACCACAGGAUAG